CCAAAGAACUUAUUCAAAACGUUAAUAACUUUGACCGUUAUAAAAAGUUUUUAUUUAGUUAUUUUUAACUUAGUUAUUUUGUUUUCCAAAACGUUAUUAAUGUUACGUAAAAAAAUUGUUUAUCAGUAAUUCUGAUGGUGAUCUCCAAUUAAUCUGAGAACAGUCUGUAUAAUUUGUACAUGUACGUAGAGUCUAGGGGACACCGAUAAUAUUUAAAUGUUUUUUUUAAUUCCCCACCAUAAUGCUAUCAUGUAAUUGUAACGUUUUUAUCUGGUGUGAUUAAUUUUUCUUUAUUUCUUAUUUAAAAAUAAAUAAAAUUACCAAUAUAGCCAAUGGACUAGUAUAAAGUUGUAAAGUAUACAUCAUAACCGGUAUAGUGACCAUUGAAUCAAAGGAAGUUCUAGAUACAAGUUUAUGAUUAAAAUUAUUAACCUGCUAUGAAAAAUUUUAUAUAGUGAUGAGGUCUAUUCAGUGAACAAUAUAAAGCUUCUACCUAUUACUGAAAACAAAAAUAAUAAACAUUAGAUAAUGUUUAGCUGAAAAUUCAUCACAAACUUAAACUAAAGUUAAAAUCAUUCCUGAGGGGAAAAGUCGUUCCAUUAUAGCACUAAGCAAAAUUGCGAUUAUGAUUCAUAUUAUUAUAAAGCUUCAUGUGCAUAAGCUAUCCCAGAACUUCAUAGGUCUAAAAUCUAAAUGUGAUAUAACUUUGGGUACUUAGGUACUCAUUUUAUGGGAACUUCGACACUUCGAUAAAUCAGUCUCUCAGCGUGUUUUAUGGGAAUUACAACUGCAAAUUAAUGUCUAUAUCGUUGUAAUGCACAUUUCCAAGAUCUUAAAAAUUAGCUUCUAUCUAGUUAAUGUUUCAACAACACACUUCAACUUCAACACAAAAUAUCAUCUUGUAAACAACGUUAUAAUGAUUAUUGUCAGCGUUCAAUGAUAUUUAAUAAGAGGAAGUCAUAUUAACUUCGUUAAUUAACGAUAACGAGUAACGAUAAGUUGCCUAUGGUGCUUCACUACCUAUGUGAAACAAUAUGGAAUGGAACAUCAAAUACUUAUGUAAAACUUUUCGAACAAAAUGUUAACAAACAACAAAAGGUUAUGUGCUCCAAAAUGAAUAUAAAGCUAUCGAUAUUUCUACUUGAGCAAUGUUCUACAAAGUGUAAUCUUGCAGGAAUCAACAACUGGAAUCAUAGCGGUUCAAUGUUAAUUUUCAUAUGAAUUAAUCUGACCUUCUUCUUCAUAGCUUGUUGGUGACAAUGAAUCUGGUCUGGGUUUGUCACCGUGGCGGUGAAGACACUGGGGAGUCAAGUUGGUGUCAGUUACUUACUGUCCACCUGUGGCGCAGCUGGAUGUGUGUUCGAAACUAAACUUCAAAGACGGUAAACCAAUUUACAAGCCUGGUGCAAAAUCUCCAGGAACCAUGCAAAGAUUACUCUGAAUGACAAGAGAUGGCUGGCCAUUUUGGUCAGACUGGCCGAGCUGGAUGGCAACCAGAUGGUGCCGAUGCAGUGCCGCCGAGCAGUGUGCGCUGUAUGCGCGCUGCAGUCUGGUGGGCGCGCAGGCAACCGCCUGACGCGGGUGCACUGCUGGUGUGCAGUUUGCGCUGUAUGCGCGCUGCUGUGUGCGCUGUAUGCGCGCUGCUGUCUGCGCUGUAUGCGCGCUGCUGUGUGCGCUGUAUGCGCGCUGCUGUCUGCGCUGUAUGCGCGCUGCUGUGUGCGCUGUAUGCGCGCUGCUGUCUGCGCUGUAUGCGCGCUGCUGUCUGCGCUGUAUGCGCGCUGCUGUUUGCGCUGUAUGCGCGCUGCGGUCUGGUGGUCGCGCAGGCAACCGCCUGACGCGGGUGCACAGCACGCAUGCUGUCUGCGCUUGAUGCGCGCUACAGUUGGCCAUAGACGGCUGACGUAGAAGAUGCAUCGACGGGUGUUGCAACGACGGACAUUUACAAGUUCUUCAGACCGCUUUCGACGGGAUCUCACGCAGAAAUGCGAUGAGUGGCUUUGCCUUUCGUUCAUUAUAUGAAUGACUGCGCUUGGGCGGGGCCGCCUGCUAUGCGGGUGGUUACUGCGUUGGGCAAACUGCGGGGUGUCCGACUUUUUCUACAUUUCAAGAUGAUGAAUGACAUGGAUCCAUGUGUGAGAUGACUAAUGUUGGUCGAAGCCUGAUAGUUAACUGGCUGUGGUUCAUGAAACCUAACCUUUCAUGAAUCAAUAAUCAUUUUUGUUAUUUUGAAUGUUCGAGAGUUAAGACAGAGGGCCCUGAAAGAUCGAUGAACAAGAGAUUAGGCAAAGCUGUGACCACUAGGGUCGUAACUAACAGUGGGCUCUUUUGCAGAACUCUAUCUAUAUGGCAGACAUUGGGCUAAGCAGCCUGCCGCUGCCGCGACAAGUCUCCCUCCCCUACGGGACCCUCCAGGGCAUGCCGCCAAGCUGCCAAGGCGUCGCGACGGCGUCACCGCUGAACAACCAAGCGGAAGACAGCCAAGACCCUCCACCAAGCCGCUUGUCUCUCAGUAUGAGGAGAAAGCUUACAUUGAAGAUGUGCCCGAGGACGGUGCACAGUCAGGAGAGGCCGUGUUAGCAACCUCGUACAAAAUAUAGUCUGUGAAGUUAUUAUUCCGAGCGGCAACUAGUCUGUGAAUCCUCUAUUUCAAUAUAAAUUGUCUAUGGUCAUAUUUUCCUUCUUGCCGCCAUUGCGGUUUGUCAACAACACUACUUUUUUGUGCAACUUGGAUAAAUAAUCUUCACGGAUUAAAUUAACAACUUAGUGGUUCUUUCCUUUGAUUAUUGUGCAUUGUAUCAUGGUUGAUUGUUUUCGUUAUUAUUUCUUUGUAUAAUUUCGAUUCUACAGUACAUUUGGUUUAUAACUUAGAUUCUAAAUAUUUCAAUUGUAAUAGAAACUCAAGUGCUUAUUCUGA